rnacentral:miRNA from 1 species
GAGAGAGGAUGAAAGGGGAUGGGAGGGAGUAGUAAAAAAAGUGAAAACAAUUUCAAAUAGAUUUCAGUUUUUAGUUUUUGUUUUCACUUUUGUUACUUCUCCAUCCCAUCCUCCCCUCUCAUCUUCUCUCU